CGAUGAGAGUUUGAAGAUCUACAUUGAAAUCUUUUACCUAAGAAACUUAGUCCUUACCCAUAAACCCAGGAGAAGAGGGGGAGCACGCAUCAGAGCUAGUAAAUAUAGAAAAAGUCAAACAUUCCUCAUCAAGGCCUCGGAAGAAACCAAAGAAACCAAAAAAACACCAAGGGAGAAAAUGUCCACUGAAACACGUGCCUGCCUGGGUGUGAGGAUAUCCUAUGACAGUCACUGUCGCUCAGGCAGCUGCCAGGCUGUUGCAGGACCCAGGUGGAAGAGAGAGGGAGGAGCUACGCCUUUGACUGAAUUUGGAACCUUUCAUUAUUACAAUUUCUGAAUUGAGAC